rnacentral:rRNA from 1 species
UACAGAGGGUGCGAGCGUUGUCCGGAAUCACUGGGCGUAAAGGGCGCGUAGGCGGCCUGGUAAGUAGGGGGUGAAAUCUCGCGGCUCAACUGCGGGGCUGCCUUCUAAACUGCCGGGCUUGAGCACAGUAGAGGCAGGUGGAAUUCCCGGUGUAGCGGUGGAAUGCGUAGAGAUCGGGAAGAACAUCGGUGGCGAAGGCGGCCUGCUGGGCUGUUGCUGACGCUGAUGCGCGACAGCGUGGGGAGCAAACAGG